rnacentral:rRNA from 1 species
AUAGGAAGAUAAAAGGCAUCUUUUAUCUUUUUAAAGACCUAGUACUAGGUAUGCUUUAGGAGGGGCUUGCGCCAUAUUAGUUAGUUGGUAGGGUAAUGGCCUACCAAGACGAUGAUGUGUAGCUGGACUGAGAGGUUGAACAGCCACAUUGGGACUGAGACACGGCCCAAACUCCUACGGGAGGCAGCAGUAGGGAAUUUUCGGCAAUGGAGGAAACUCUGACCGAGCAACGCCGCGUGAAUGACGAAGUACUUCGGUAUGUAAAGUUCUUUUAUCAAGGAAGAAAAGCAAAUGGCGAACCAUUUGUUUGCCGGUACUUGAUGAAUAAGCCCCGGCUAAUUAUGUGCCAGCAGCCGCGGUAAGACAUAAGGGGCAAGUGUUAUCCGGAAUUAUUGGGCGUAAAGGGUGCGUAGGCGGUCUAGUAAGUCAGUGGUGUAAUGGCAACGCUUAACGUUGUCCGGCUAUUGAAACUGCUAAACUUGAGUUAGAUAGAGGCGAGUGGAAUUCCAUGUGUAGCGGUAAAAUGCGUAAAUAUAUGGAGGAACACCAGAGGCGUAGGCGGCUCGCUGGGUCUUAACUGACGCUGAGGCACGAAAGCGUGGGGAGCAAACAGGAUUAGAUACCCUGGUAGUCCACGCCGUAAACGAUGAGUACUAAGUGUCGGGUUAAACCGGUACUGAAGUUAACACAUUAAGUACUCCGCCUGAGUAGUACGUACGCAAGUAUGAAACUUAAAGGAAUUGACGGGACUCCGCACAAGCGGUGGAUCAUGUUGUUUAAUUCGAAGAUACCCGAAAAACCUUACCAGGUCUUGACAUGUUUUUGCAAAAUGAUAGUAAUAUCGUGGAGGUUACCAGAAACACAGGUGGUGCAUGGUUGUCGUCAGCUCGUGUCGUGAGAUGUUAGGUUAAGUCCUAAAACGAGCGAAACCCUUAUCGUUAGUUGCCAGCACGUUAUGGUGGGGACUUUAACGAGACUGCCAAUGAUAAAUUGGAGGAAGGUGAGGAUCACGUCAAAUCAGCAUGCCCCUUAUGACCUGGGCUACAAACGUGAUACAAUGGCUGUUACAAAGGGUAGCUGAAACGCAAGUUCUUGGCCAAUCCCCAAAAACAGUCCCAGUCUGGACGAAGUCUGCAACUCGACUUCAUGAAGUUGGAAUCGCUAGUAAUCGCGAAUCAGCAUGUCGCGGUGAAUACGUUCU